CUGAACUCAAUUGAAGCACACUGUUUAAUUCCGUCGUUGUGGUGAAUUUAUCAGCGUGUUGGCCUACAAACACACAGCCAAAAAACAACAACAAAUGAGGUUAGUUAUGCAGCUUUAGUGUCAAAAAAGCGUUCAUGUCUUAAAUCUGGAAAACAACAUUGAAAACUGCUGAUAAAGAGCAACAGACGCCUGACCAAAACAAACUUUCCAAGUAACUCCAAUUAGCAACACCUGUGUCAUUCAGGCACACUGGGCUAACCUCCAUAAACAUGUUGAUUCCUCGAAGAGGUAAAAAGGACAUAAGGUGAGGGUUCCAUGGAAAAGAUGACUGGAAGGAUACAAAGGUGAUCUCUUUUGAAAGUGCUGAAUCAGCAGAGCCUAUGAUAGGCUAGCUGGAUACUUUGUCUUGCUUGUGACCUUCACAGCUCUUCUGAUGUCCAUAACAAAUUGCCCCAGGGUAUCAGCAUGAUCAUGCAGUGACAGCACAGGAAUAACAACAAGGCUUGGAGAAGGCCGCCCCCUGCCGCCACUGAGGACAACUACACUAAUACAGACAAGAGCGCCUCAACAGUUACACACUCAAGAGUUGGGGUUUUGCCGUAUGCAACUAGCUACCAUCUCCAACGCUUGUGCAAAACAGAAAAGAAGACUGGUAAGUCAGGAGCCGGACACAAGGGUGAACGGUGUGCCGAGAGCUGGAGAGACCCGGGACGAUGGAAAGAGGACGGAGGGUCGGAUCACCUCGCCCACAGAGUCCUCUCACCUCGACACACUGAGCAGGGGGACUGAAGUAUGCCAAUAUGGCCAGCUUUCAAGCAAUCACCCCUUGAAGCUCUCCCUGUGGUGAAGCUGAGGGAUCCCCGCAUUGCACUGUGGGAAACUCCAAACUCAGCCCCGAACCACCCUUCAGAUAUCUUCAGGUAAACUAGUCUAUGCAGCAGAGUGGAUGAGGAAAACAAAAUAUUUCUUGGGGAAGAGGAAGCAGAAAAAAAAGUCAAGGAAGAAGUCAUCAUCUUUGAAAGGCGGAGGGAGGAAGUCACAUGAUGAAAAAAGAUGGGGACAGGUCUUCGCUCAGGCACGGCUCGGUUUCUGAUGGGGUCUUUUCCCAGUGCGCCCUGGGAAGUGCGGUCCUCAGCUCUCCAGACUCAUGAAGGCCACCACCUGCUCCAGCUUGAAGGCCAGCCUCUGUUUCCGGGCUGCAUCGUCCUGCUCCAGUGAACACACAAUCUGCCAGCCGGACAGAGAGCUGCAGCCGCUCGAGGACAGGCCCGGGGUUUGGCUGGAUAAUUCUGGGCAUGUGUGAAGGAGAGAUGGAUUUGCCAGGACGCAAGUCUACAGAGCAAACUGAGCAAAGGAGAAGCAGAGAAGCUCUGAAGAAGCAGCAGCAGAGAUUUCCUGCCAUUAGUCUGCUCUCCAGGUAACGACGUCCUAUCCUGACAAUUAGGCUGUGGCAUAAAGGAUAGAGAGGUCUCUUCUGUCUUUGCCCACUUCCCUUUGCUGUCUUCUUUCAUAGCUGCAGCCUCCGCCUUUUAAAUCCUUUCCCUGGCAUGACCCCUACUUUGGCACGGUUGGACAGCAGAGUGAAGCGGCACUAGUACUCAGUCACUACUAUAUUACUGAGGCUUUUCCACUGUGGGGUGCUGACACUAUUGCUCCACCAAACUUGCAAUAAAGGCAAGUUAAUGACACGAGUGCAGUGGGAUGUUUCUUUUUACAGCUAUCAACACAAGUAUGUGUGUCUCAGAUACU